rnacentral:lncRNA from 1 species
CCCACGAAUUUCCUCAGAGGCUUCCCCCCCACCCCCACCCCCCACUUGAGAGCAGGAACAAGGCCAGCUGGGUAGGCCACCCUCCUCCAGCUCUCUUCCCAGUCUCUGCACUGUGUUUGGGACAAGCAGCGCUUGGGGCCGCCCGGCCGGAGAUUUUAUCCGACUUCUCCCGAAUCUAAUUCCGGGGGGGGGGGGGGGGGGGGGGAGGAAGCGAAGUAAAACUGGCUGUUUUAGGUUCAUGGACGAUGCAUUUCUGGGCAUGAGGUUCAGCUCUCUGUAUCCUGCUGUUGAAGAAAGUUUGAGAGAGUCAAAUCGUUUCUCACUGUGGUCCUCACUGUGGUAAUGACAGAGAGUCACAGAGAAGAUUCCGGUUUCCCAGACCCCGCCGAGGGGGGGCAGCUGGCACCUGCCGACAACCGCCUGCUUGCCUCUGAUUUCCCUGGGUCAGCGUCUCCCUACUGUGCGCGCUGAGCCAAGGAGCAGCAACAAGAAGGAAAGACAAGUGGGAAGCUGUUGGGUGAGAGAGGAAGUGUCAGAACAUCAGAUCAGCCUGACUUGGUUGCGAGAGACGGCAGAGGAGCAAAUCUGCCUUCCCGGAGGAAAAACAUCACCGGCCAUCGGUGGAGGGAAUUUGGCUUUUGGUUCCUAACCGGAGAAGACAGCUACCUGUCAAAUGGCGUGGAGUCGACUGGGGAGCCAGUGUGGCUAUGUUCCCACUUAGCGAUGUUUGGUUUUCUCUCCAGAAAUGGACUUUAUUUCCUCUAAAUUCGUAUUGUAGCUCAUCUCAGAUUAAUAAAGUUUUCUCUAUUAAAGGAGGUCCUUAGAGU